rnacentral:sRNA from 1 species
UGAUGAGAUCAGGCAAGCACAGCUCCAGGAGUUAACAUAUUUGAAUGGUGGUUCAGAAAAUGCAGAUGUUCCAGUGGUUCGAGGGAAACCCACCUUGCGUACAAGAGGUGUACCAGCCCCAGCAAUAACAAGGGGAAGGGGAGGAGUUACAGCCCGGCCAGUUGGAGUUGUAGUACCACGAGGGACGCCAACUCCCAGAGGAGUCCUGUCCACCCGAGGGCCAGUGAGUCGGGGAAGAGGACUUCUCACUCCCAGAGCAAGAGGAGUCCCCCCAACUGGGUACAGACCUCCACCGCCACCCCCGACACAAGAGGCUUAUGGAGAAUAUGACUAUGAUGAUGGAUAUGGCACUGCUUAUGAUGAACAGAGUUAUGAUUCCUAUGAUAACAGCUAUAGCACCCCAGCCCAAAGGAAAUGUCAGCCAUCUUGGAAUGUCACACGAACUGGUUGAACACCUGAAGCAAACAAAGGAACUUUCCUUCUAUUUAUGGACUGCUUAAGAAUAGUCAACUCACCAACGUGCCUAGUCAGUAAAUGAAUCCACUUGGGAACUUGAAAAACAUCUUAAUUAAUUUUUUGUUUGCAUAAUUUUGUGUUCUGUGACAUGUUUUUAUUAUAUGGUAUGCUUUUAAUUUGGAGAACCUACCUUUUUAAAAAACGGAAAGAAAAUCUAUCUUAUUUUGUUGUCUCCCAAUAACAAAAAGAGGACGAUU